CCUACGGGGGGCAGCAGUAGGGAAUCUUCCACAAUGGACGAAAGCCUGAUGGAGCAACGCCGCGUGAGUGAUGAAGGGUUUCGGCUCGUAAAGCUCUGUCGGCAGUGAAGAACGAUAGAGGUAGUAACUGGCCUUUAUUUGACGGUAAUUACUUAGAAAGUCACGGCUAACUCCGUGCCAGCAGCCGCGGUAAUACGGAGGGGGCAAGCGUUGUUCGGAUUUAUUGGGCGUAAAGCGCGCGUAGGCGGUACAAUAAGUCAAUGGUGAAAGCCUUCGGCUCAACGGGAGAACUGCAUCAGAAACUGUUGAACUGGAGUGCAGGAGAGGAGAGUGGAACUCCAUGUGUAGCAGUGGAAUGCGUAGAUAUAUGGAGGAACACCAGUGGCGAAGGCGACUCUCUGGUCUACAACUGACGCUGAGGCGCGAAAGCAUGGGUAGCGAACAGGAUUAGAUACCCCAGUAGUC
rnacentral:rRNA from 1 species